GUGUCAGCCGCCGCGGUAAUACGGAGGAUCCAAGCGUUAUCCGGAUUUAUUGGGUUUAAAGGGUGCGUAGGCGGAAUUGUAAGUCAGUGGUGAAAUCUUGCAGCUUAACUGUAAAAUUGCCGUUGAUACUGCUAUUCUUGAGUAUAGUUGAGGUAGGCGGAAUGUGUAAUGUAGCGGUGAAAUGCUUAGAUAUUACACAGAACACCGAUUGCGUAGGCAGCUUACUAAGCUAUAACUGACGCUGAGGCACGAAAGCGUGGGGAUCGAACAGGAUUAGAUACCCGCGUAGUCC
rnacentral:rRNA from 1 species